rnacentral:rRNA from 2 species
UACGAAGGGGGCUAGCGUUGCUCGGAAUCACUGGGCGUAAAGGGUGCGUAGGCGGGUCUUUAAGUCAGGGGUGAAAUCCUGGAGCUCAACUCCAGAACUGCCUUUGAUACUGAAGAUCUUGAGUUCGGGAGAGGUGAGUGGAACUGCGAGUGUAGAGGUGAAAUUCGUAGAUAUUCGCAAGAACACCAGUGGCGAAGGCGGCUCACUGGCCCGAUACUGACGCUGAGGCACGAAAGCGUGGGGAGCAA